rnacentral:rRNA from 1 species
GAGGAUCAUUAUCGAAAUGCCCAUGACAGAGUUGUCGCUGGCCUUCUGGCCGUGCACGCUCCGUCCUUCUUCAUUUCUCCAUCUACUUGUGCACUCGCCUGCAUGGAUCUCAUUCUCCGAGGGUUUCCUCGGAUCCAUUAGGACUGCUUUGCAAAAAAAACAUUUUUGUGGGCUUUCCUUGUUAUUCCAUGUCUUUCUUCACAUACCCCAGUUGUAACCAUGAAAUGGAUGAAUUUUGAUGCAUAAUACAACUUUCAGCAACGGAUCUCUUGGCUCUCGCAUCGAUGAAAAACGCAGCGAAAUGCGAUAAGUAAUGUGAAUUGCAAAAUUCAGUGAAUCAUCGAAUCUUUGAACGCAUCUUGCGCUCCUUGGUAUUCCGAGGAGCAUGCCUGUUUGAGUGUCAUCAAUAUCUCAACCACGCCGACUCGUUUGUCGGCGUGGCUUGGAUUUGGGGGUUUAUAUGCAGGCCCUUGCUUGUGGUCUGCUCCCCUGAAAUGCAUGAGUGGUUGGAACCCCUCUGUUAGGUGUGAUAAUUAUCUGCAUCUGAUGGAAAGGUCGUGGCUGCUACGUCGUUGGAGUUGAUAAACUUGACCUCAAAUCAGGUAGGACCACCCGCUGAACUUAA